rnacentral:rRNA from 1 species
UACAGAGGUGGCAAGCGUUGUUCGGAAUUACUGGGCGUAAAGGGCGCGUAGGCGGCCUUCUAAGUCGGACGUGAAAUCCCCAGGCUUAACUUGGGAACUGCGUCCGAUACUGGAGGGCUUGAGUGCGGGAGAGGGAUGUGGAAUUCCAGGUGUAGCGGUGAAAUGCGUAGAUAUCUGGAGGAACACCGGUGGCGAAGGCGGCAUCCUGGACCGACACUGACGCUGAUGCGCGAAAGCCAGGGGAGCGAACGGG